CACUGGAGGCAGUGGUUCAUCGAUCUCUUCCUGAGUUUGGCCGUGGAAGAACACGAAUCAGGAAUCGGUCGAUAAACCUCUGCAUCCAGU
rfam:Cajanus cajan CcLG11_2121, whole genome shotgun sequence.